rnacentral:rRNA from 1 species
GACGAACGCUGGCGGCGUGCCUAAUACAUGCAAGUAGAACGCACAGUUUAUACCGUAGCUUGCUACACCAUAGACUGUGAGUUGCGAACGGGUGAGUAACGCGUAGGUAACCUGCCUGGUAGCGGGGGAUAACUAUUGGAAACGAUAGCUAAUACCGCAUAAUAUUAAUUAUUGCAUGAUAAUUAAUUGAAGGGUGCAAUUGCACCACUACCAGAUGGACCUGCGUUGUAUUAGCUAGUAGGUGAGGUAACGGCUCACCUAGGCGACGAUACAUAGCCGACCUGAGAGGGUGAUCGGCCACACUGGGACUGAGACACGGCCCAGACUCCUACGGGAGGCAGCAGUAGGGAAUCUUCGGCAAUGGACGAAAGUCUGACCGAGCAACGCCGCGUGAGUGAAGAAGGGUUUCGGAUCGUAAAGCUCUGUUGUAAGAGAAGAACGGGUGUGAGAGUGGAAAGUUCACACUGUGACGGUAUCUUACCAGAAAGGGACGGCUAACUACGUG